GGGAGAUUCAUGAGAAAGGGAUGAACUCAUGGUUCCUGAAGAAAGACAAUGGCAUGCAGUGUUUUCCCAGAGGCUUUGUGUGUAUAUGUGUGUAGGUGUGUAUUUUGAUUUUAAAUCCUUCCUUUUUCCUGCAAGGAUUUUUUUUCCCCUCAUCUUUUCAACUGCCAUUAUCUUCUGGCUUGUUCUUCAUUUGGAUGGUGAUAAAUUCAAAUUCAGACUCCAUUAAACCUGAGUAGAGCAACCCAGCAGGUGGCUGUACUAAUGGAAAAUCCUGGCUUUGGAAUAAUGGGAAUUAUAACCGACAGCUCUUCUACACCACAAAAAAGAUGAUGUAUUCUUAUUGACAGUGUCGCAUUUGAGUCCAGAAGGCUGAUCUGAUAGUUCAGUCCUGGCACAACGGAAGCUAAAGGCCCCCUGGGUGUUUUCUUGGCCACACCACUGUAAUUUUUGUCAUCUGAACUUUCUAUUACAAUUCAUUUUACAAAUCUCAUAUAAGUUGAAGAGAGCAAGAGGAAUGAAAGGGAGGGGAAAGAAAAAAGGAGGCCUUUAUUUUGCCUACAGGCAUACUUUUAUUCUUUUUUCUUGGCUUAAAGGACAAAUAAAGGUUGACACACAAUAGUAUUUCUAGCCAAUUCGGUAUUUUUAAUGCUGACAUACUUGGCCCAAGUUCUUUUAGUGAUCCUAGACAAGCUCAUCGGAGGGAGUUUCUGUUUAAAAGAUACAUAGAUUGCCCCGGAGGUGUAAUGUCUGAUGUUCCACUAGAAUUCUUCCAGGAAUCCUACAUUUGUAUGCAUUUUUUUUCUUUCUUUUCUCUUAGCUCCACCUUCCUUUUUAAACUCCACCAUGUUAUUUACAAAAAUAUUAUUUGGUCACACUGAUCUGAAAUGACAUCUGGAUGUUCAAAUAUUUAGAACUUCAUAUUUUCACUAAGCCUCCAAGUCUCUGAAAAUAUAACAAGCAGUUAUCAAAAUAUUUC
rnacentral:lncRNA from 1 species